rnacentral:rRNA from 1 species
UACGUAGGGUGCGAGCGUUAAUCGGAAUUACUGGGCGUAAAGCGUGCGCAGGCGGUUUCACAAGCUCGAUGUGAAAGCCCCGGGCUUAACCUGGGAAUGGCAUUGAGGACUGUGGAGCUCGAGUGCGGCAGAGGGAGGUGGAAUUCCACGUGUAGCAGUGAAAUGCGUAGAGAUGUGGAGGAACACCGAUGGCGAAGGCAGCAUCCUGGACCAAUUCUGACGCUGAGGAGCGAAAGCCAGGGGAGCAAACGGG